AAAAUAGGGUUUGCUUAUUUCUUUCCUUUGCAAUAAACAAUUUUCAACAGUAUAAUAGCUUAAAUAGGUGAUUGUGAUGUCACCCUUAGGAUAUAAUCACUGCUUGUCACAUCGUUUCUGUAGAAAAACCAACUCACAUAGGAUGAAAUGUGAUGGGGUGAAAUCAUGGCAGUGUGAUUUUCAAACACCAACUUGCCUUGGAAGGGAAUGUGGGGAUGUGCACUGCUGGAAGCCAUGUGUUCUGAUAUGAGAAGAACUUCUUCAGAAGGUAUCUUAAUGCAUAUGGGGAAACUGAGGCCCAGGGGGCAACUAUUGCAUCCAGGAAAAAAAAAAGAAGAUAAUGACUUCUCUGCAACUAAGAUGAAGAUCCACUGAACUUUGGGGUUUGAAAUGCAACGUUAGAACUUCAGACUCCCGGCACCUAGGUCUCCAGAUGCUGGGUGGUGCCAGCAUCAGAGAUUCACUCUGCAAAACAUAUACUGUCUUAGGAAAAAGUGACCCUGUUGUCCUUUCAGGCCCAUAUUCCACAGAAGACAAAUGGAGAUGUAAAAGGAAAACUGCAGCUCUGAGUUAAGAGAGAGCAAGUUGUCUGUUCUGAUACAGCCAGGAAAUAAGAUGUUCUGGUUAAUAUGUGCUAAAGAUGUGGUGCUGACUUUCCGACUCAGAAUAUGAUCACAUGUUUUUCUCAUUAAAACUAUAUUGAAUGUUA
rnacentral:lncRNA from 1 species